rnacentral:rRNA from 1 species
AACGAACGCUGGCGGCAGGCCUAACACAUGCAAGUCGAGCGAGAUCUUCGGGUCUAGCGGCGGACGGGUGAGUAACGCGUGGGAAUAUGCCUCUUGGUACGGAAUAGCCUCUGGAAACUUGGAGUAAUACCGUAUGUGCCCUUUGGGGGAAUGAUUUAUCGCCAAGAGAUUAGCCCGCGUUGGAUUAGGUAGUUGGUGGGGUAAUGGCCUACCAAGCCGACGAUCCAUAGCUGGUUUGAGAGGAUGAUCAGCCACACUUGGAGUGAGACACGGCCCAGACUCCUACGGGAGGGAGAAGUGGGGAAUAUUAGACAAUGGGGGCAAACCUGAUCUAGCCAUGCCGCGAGAGUGAUGAAGGAAGUAGGGUUGUAAAGAUCUUUCAGCUGGGAAGAUAAUGACGGUACCAGAAGAAGAAGCACCGGCUAACUCCGU